UCCGCUGCUCCGUCUCCAUGGAAGAGAUGCAAGCAGAGUUGUCUAGAAGAGAGAAAGCAGCCAAUAUUAUGCCUUAUCUAGAUAUUGAUAUCUUCAUUAAGAUUGUGAACCAAGGUCCCUGCAAACUCGAGCUUGAUUUUUUGAAUCCAUGGGCUUUAAAUGUCUUGCAAGGAAAAGUGUGGCUAACUUCUUUCAAGAAGUAGGUGUAGAUAUAGGUUUUUCUGUUUAAUAUGUUCCAAUAGAAAUGCUUGAUCUUUGAAAGGUGAGCAUCACAUGGAGACUCUCAUUAAUUCAUAUGCAUAAUAAAAUGUUUAUAGGUGACAUCAUAUAAAGACCAAAAGCAAUAUUGGGCAUGUCAAAAUGAACCUUACUGUUUUGUUGAAUUUGUCGAGGCAUUUCAAUCAUUCCAUGUGGGAGGGAGUUUAAUUAAAUUUGAAAAAUAAUUAAG